rnacentral:rRNA from 1 species
UAAACAUUGAUAGAUUGUUACAUCCACUAUCCGCCAGGGUACUACGAGCAUCAGCUUAAAACCCAAAGGACUUGGCGGUGCUUAAGAUCCACCUAGAGGAGCCUGUUCUAGAACCGAUAAUCCCCGUUCAACCUCACCCUUUCUUGUUCUUCCAGCCUAUAUACCGCCGUCGUCAGCUUACCUUGUGAAAGACCAACAGUAAGCAAAAAUGGCACAGCCCAAAACGUCAGGUCGAGGUGUAGCAUAUGAAAGGGGAAGAAAUGGGCUACAUUUUCUAAAAUAGAAAAUCACGGAUAACACAUUGAAACAUGUAUUUGAAGGAGGAUUUAGCAGUAAGUUGAAAAUAGAGUGUUCAACUGAAACUGGCCCUAAAGCGCGCACAUACCGCCCGUCACUCUCUCCGAAUAAAAACUUAAAAAUAACUAAAAACUCAUAAUCACAAAGGAGAGGCAAGUCGUAACAUGGUAAGUGUACGGAAGGUGUACCUUGGAAAAAAU